UCACACUAUCAUUAACUGAAUCCAUAGGUUAAUGAGGCGAACCGGGGGAACUGAAACAUCUAAGUACCCCGAGGAAAAGAAAUCAACCGAGAUUCCCCCAGUAGCGGCGAGCGAACGGGGAGGAGCCCAGAGCCUGAAUCAGCAUGUGUGUUAGUGGAAGCGUCUGGAAAGGCGCGCGAUACAGGGUGACAGCCCCGUACACAAAAGCGCAUGUGCUGUGAGCUCGAUGAGUAGGGCGGGACACGUGGUAUCCUGUCUGAAUAUGGGGGGACCAUCCUCCAAGGCUAAAUACUCCUGACUGACCGAUAGUGAACCAGUACCGUGAGGGAAAGGCGAAAAGAACCCCGGCGAGGGGAGUGAAAAAGAACCUGAAACCGUGUACGUACAAGCAGUGGGAGCACCCUUUGGGUGUGACUGCGUACCUUUUGUAUAAUGGGUCAGCGACUUAUAUUCUGUAGCAAGGUUAACCGAAUAGGGGAGCCGGAGGGAAACCGAGUCUUAACCGGGCGUUAAGUUGCAGGGUAUAGACCCGAAACCCGGUGAUCUAGCCAUGGGCAGGUUGAAGGUUGGGUAACACUAACUGGAGGACCGAACCGACUAAUGUUGAAAAAUUAGCGGAUGACCUGUGGCUGGGGGUGAAAGGCCAAUCAAACCGGGAGAUAGCUGGUUCUCCCCGAAAGCUAUUUAGGUAGCGCCUCGUGAAUUCAUCUCCGGGGGUAGAGCACUGUUUCGGCUAGGGGGCCAUCCCGGCUUACCAACCCGAUGCAAACUGCGAAUACCGGAGAAUGUUAUCACGGGAGACACACGGCGGGUGCUAACGUCCGUCGUGAAGAGGGAAACAACCCAGACCGCCAGCUAAGGUCCCAAAGUCAUGGUUAAGUGGGAAACGAUGUGGGAAGGCCCAGACAGCCAGGAUGUUGGCUUAGAAGCAGCCAUCAUUUAAAGAAAGCGUAAUAGCUCACUGGUCGAGUCGGCCUGCGCGGAAGAUGUAACGGGGCUAAACCAUGCACCGAAGCUGCGGCAGCGACACUGUGUGUUG
rnacentral:rRNA from 1 species